rnacentral:tRNA from 1 species
GCUGUAGUGACAGAUAAAUGUGCAGGGUUUAAGCUUCUGUUAUGCUCGUUAGGGCCUAUAGUA